GUAUAUGUGAACUGAUUGUAGGAGAUUACUUCACUUCUAAAGAGCUUAUCUCAAUGUUCCCUCCUUUAGCAAGACUUCUUGGCAGCUGGGGACUCUGGGAUUUCUUCCUGCCACAUAUGAACCACAAAUAGAUGAGGACUAUAAGGGAGUUCACUGGUUUGGAAGAAGGUACUCAAAGGUCUCAGGGGCUCACUCUUGGGGUAAAUGACCUUUCCGACACAGCUUUGACUGGCAUAGCACUGGACUAAAAUCAAGAGACUCAAGAUCUACCCAUGGCUAAAGAGCUUACCAUUCACUGACCUUGGUAAGU